CGCGAGUUCGCAAAUUGUACAGACUAAGUCUAUGGCAAAGGAUACCGACGUGCUCUGAUUGGUCGAUUUCUUUCGCACAGACUUUCUAUGCUGUAGCAACCCUGUUACAUUGUUGUUUAGUUGUACGUACUUUUUUGCCUGCCAAUUUUCAAAAUGGAGAAAUUAAAUCUUCCAGAGAAAUACAGUUAUAAAAUAAUUGAGAUUGAUGAGAAUAGAGCUAUUUUUUGCAUUUCUGAUCUUGUAAAUAAAGAAUCAGCUCAGGAAUGGAUUAAAGAAUAUGAACAAAGAUCGGAAACAGUUUGGCGUGUUCAGAGAACACAUAAAUCAACUGGACGCCUUAAUGUUUAUAAAGGUGACUUUAGAUGCCAGCACAAUGUGCAACAGGUAUCAAAACAUGUGAAAGAAAGUAAAAAUACUGGAUGCCCUGCAGUUCUUAAAAUUACUAUUCAAAGGUAUUUUUCACUGCCAAAACACAAAGAUCCACUCCCAGAAGUUAUAGAGUUUCCUGCAUUAUGUGAGCUUCUGUACUUGCAUAAUCAUUUGCUUGACAGUGCUGCUGUUAAAAAGUUCAGGCCAUUAUCAAACCUAACGCAAAAGCGUCUGAUAGAAUUGUUUGAAUUAGGACAUACUGCAGCUACUGCAAGACAGAUGUUGCAAAUGGAAUUAGAGCUUCAGAGUAAUGAAGAUUAUGUAGAAGCAUGCAUGGACAGUUCUAAGCUACCUUCAUUAUCUGUCGUAAAUCACUUGUUAAAUAAUGAAUUUAGGAAAAUCUAUGGAUCUCGAAGAGAAAGUGAUAUUGACAGGGAAGCUGAAAAAUAUAUUUCCUCAUACAAUCAACAGCCAUUCUGUAAAGCUGCUUUUCCAAAAGUAAAGAACAGUUUGGCGAUUGCUGUAGUGACGCCGAUAAUGAAGCGAAGUAUAGAUUUACUUAGCAAUGUUCAAGAAAUGAUAAUGCUUGAUGCAUCUAGCCACAUGGACAGACUAAAUCAUCGUGUUUAUUUUUUUAUUUCUCCAGGUGUAGCUGGUGGAAUACCUAUUGGCUGCAUUAUCACAAAUGCAGAAGUUAACUAAUAUUUUUCGUUAAGGAGUGAAACUUCUCUGUGAGUGUUUCCCUGAGAAAUGCUGUUUAUUGCAAAAUGGGCCACUGAUUGUAAUGACAGAUGAUGAUCUGAAGGAAAGAGAAGUUCUGAGUAAAAUAUGGCUGAAUUCUACUUACUUACUCUGUCAGUUUCAUGUGCUAAAAGCAGUGUGGCGAUGCUUAUGAACAGUGAAAAUAAAGUUCUAAAAGAGCACCGUCAAAAAUUAUAUUUUUCCUUUAAAUCAUUGAUGUAUGCAGAAACUGAAAUGCAACUGAAAGAGUUGUUUCAAAAUAUGUUGGAGAAUAGUACAGUCAGGAAAUAUGACAAGUUCAUCAUAUAUUUGAGCAAGUUGUUCUCCAAAAAGCAUUUAUGGUGCACUUGUCAUAGAAAAAUGCUUUUAACCAGGGGAAACAAUACAACAAACUAUGUUGAAAGUUUGUUCAAAGUUUUAAAAGAGACCAUACUUGGACGAGUGAAAGCAUUUAGCUCAGUUCAAUUAUUGGACUUCAUUGUCACAAAAUUUGAGAAGUAUCUACAUAGUAGAUAUUUAGAUUUUAGUUUUGGUCGUUCUAACAAAAAACUAGUAAAAAGGUUUUUGCCUGAUGAUAAAGGAAUAAUUCAGAACAUCAGAUCACUAAAUAAAGAUAACACUUAUUUUGAAAUUGAUCAACAUUUUGUUGAUUUGGAAAGUUCCAUUUGUACUUGCUUUGUUGGCAUGAAUGAAAAGCUUUGCAAGCAUUUAAGUUCUGUGAUUUUGGAACAAAAUAAACAAUCAACAUUUGUCUAGAAAGUAGAAAAUUAAUGUAUGAAGUGGCUACUGGGAAAAAAUUGGAUUCAAAUAGCACCCUCUUGCUACCUUUAAGUUUUAACCCAUCACACAAUUUUCCUUCUUCUCAGUCUGAUGAUGCUCUACAACCACAAUUUUCUUCUACGGUACUUCCAAAUUCAUCUAACGAUAUACUUUCACAAUUUAAUAAUAAUACACUUAAACAUUCUUCAAAUGACACGCUUUCACCUAGAGAUAUUGACACAUUUUCACAGCCUUGCAAUCAUAUAACAUGGUUCUACCAACUAUAAACACUCAGAGGUGUUUGUGCUCCGGGGAAACCCCGGAAUUCCGGGGAUUUUGAACUUCGAUACCCGGAAAUUCCGGGGAUCGUCGUUCAAAAGGAAGUAGGAAUAAUAAUGAAUUAUUUAUUUUGAUCUGGGUAAUUUUGUUUGCUUUGAAAGCAGAAAACGCAAGGUCAGUGUGUGUGGUGAAAACUUUUCCUUUCUUUCUCCAAAGGCAGUGAUAAUGCGUGAAAAGGGGGAAAAAACUUCUUUUUUGUUCUUUCCUUAUUGCGAGUUAUGACUCAUUCCCCCGGUUCUCGGACAUUCUCUUCUGGAUUCUUUUCGGCAAGUAGGCGCGGCAGAAAAAAAAGGGAGAGACUUCGUUCGACCAGAUGUGCGAUCACGUGACCUGGGUUCAAAGGUCUUAAUUUUGCAAAAUUAAUGGUUAUUAAUUUUGCAAAAAAGUAAUUCAUUGAACUUUUAUAAUUAGGUCAUUCAAUACUUCAUAAUCGUAAUUUUUCAUUUCUCCCCCCCCCCUUCUCGAAACUCCAAAAUGUCGGUAGUAAGUCCGUAAAAGUUUCAGGGGAUUUUUUGGGGUCCCACAAACACCCCUGAACACUACUUCACAGCCCAUUGCAGCUACAUGUCAAAACUCGGACAGUGAAACAGAUGAUGAUGAUGGUGAUUAUUUACAAAAAUUUGAUGAUAUAAUUAAUCGGAUUACAUCCGGUUACAAAAAUAAUCCUGAUGUUUUUAAGCCAGCAAUAAAAAAAAUGGUGUAGAAUGUUAACAAGUUUGGAAAAACAGAAACUGGAUUGGUGUCUGCCUUGCAUAACUUUGGAAGAAACCUUAACUACUCAAGCAGAGUUUUGAAGUGCAGCAGAAGGAGAGGCAAUCAAAUUCCUGUUCAACCUACAGCAAUUGCAAGAAGAAAAUCUAUUUAUUCUGGUAGGAAAACUCAAGUUGGUGGAAGGCCAGUUAAACGAGCAUUACCACCUGCCCUAAAAGAACAUACUUAUGGAAUAUUCUCUGAGUUACCAAAAAAACAUCGAAAAACAAAACAUAGUUUGACGCAUUGUGUUGAAAAGAAUGUAUCUCUUCCAAAUUAAUUUAUAUUUAUUUUAUUACUAUCAUGCUUUUAAAAAAAUA